rnacentral:rRNA from 1 species
GACGUAGGAUGCAAGCGUUGUCCGGAUUUAUUGGGCGUAAAGAGUUCGUAGGCGGUUCGUUAAGUCUGGUGUUAAAGAUCGGGGCUCAACCCUGGGAGUGCACUGGAUACUGGCGGACUUGAGUAUGGUAGAGGCGAGUGGAAUUCCCAGUGUAGCGGUGAAAUGCGUAGAUAUUGGGAAGAACACCGGUGGCGCAAGCGACUCGCUGGGCCAUUACUGACGCUGAGGAACGAAAGCUAGGGGAGCGAACGGG